UGGUGGAGUGAUUUGUCUGGUUUAUUCCGUUAACGAACGAGACCUCAGCCUACUAAAUAGUCAUCCGCAUCCUCCGGGAUGUCGGUUUAGUGACUUCUUAGAGGGACUUUCGAUGAGAGUCGAAGGAAGCUUGAGGCAAAAGCA
rnacentral:rRNA from 1 species